UACGAAGGGGGCUAGCGUUGCUCGGAAUCACUGGGCGUAAAGCGCACGUAGGCGGAUUUCUAAGUCGGGGGUGAAAUCCUGGAGCUCAACUCCAGAACUGCCUUCGAUACUGGAAGUCUUGAGUCCGGGAGAGGUGAGUGGAACUGCGAGUGUAGAGGUGAAAUUCGUAGAUAUUCGCAAGAACACCAGUGGCGAAGGCGGCUCACUGGCCCGAUACUGACGCUGAGGCACGAAAGCGUGGGGAGCAAACAGGG
rnacentral:rRNA from 1 species